GGUAAAGAUGCCCUUCUCACCUACUGUUUUAACUUUGAAUUCGUUCUAGCGAGUAUCAAUAAUUUCUUCAGACUGCCCAGCACAAGCAGUGAAGCCAAAAGCAAUCAACCAGCCGACCCAACUUUUAGAAAGAAAAAUAAAACAAAAUUGAUCCGAGUGCUGAGCCAAUUAUAGAGUUGACACAGACUACCCUUCAGCAACAACGUUGUUAGCCACUUGAUAUCAAACCAUUUGUUCCAAUGCGCAGAUAAUCGAGAGAUUGCAGCUGACUACGCUAAUCAUUCUAAAAGCCUAAAACUAUUAGAAAAAGGCUCAAUUUUUGUCUUUAACGCGUGCGAUCGGCCGCGAUCGGCCAUGGUCUUCGAGAAGCGGAUUACGCAAAACCGGGGUUCUGUGCAGAAGUUCAAAACCAUUCGACCAUCAAGCCGAUCUCAAAGCCUUCCACCUUCCCCUCCAAGAAUUCAACCCGAUCAAGCUCCAGGCCCACGAACCCGACAAUCAUCUCAUCCCGCGGCCGCCGUAAAACCCAGAAUUCGUCCGACAGAAAUCAAGUUACCUUGCGACCGGAGUCGAUGAGAAUAGGGUCGGUGCAGAGACGCAGGAAGACGUCCUUCUUCCUAGUCAGCGAGGGCCCAAAAGGCGGCGGCGGCGAGGAAGUGGAGACGAUGAGGUCGAGAUCGGUGGGGAGGAAGUUGCGCCAGACGGCGUCGGAGUCGGAGGCGGAGCGGAAGGCGCGGGAGAGGGUGGCGCAGCGGCCGGCGUCGGCAGGGGUGGCGCGGCCGGCGUCGAGCGGGGUGGCGAGGGCCAGGGAGAGUAUGCGGGCGAUGCAAUUCGCGGGCAAGGCGCCCAGCUCCACCAUCUCUUUCGUCGGGAUGAUCGAUCGACCGAUCGCGUUCGAAGUUCGAUCGGUCCGAUGAUGUUCUCGUUUCGAUUCGGUCUGAGGUUGCUGACAACCACGGGCUCAGCUACGAAGCAGAGGCUUCCCAGUCUCCAGUUCUUUUUUUUCUUUUUCUUUUUUUAUGUCUCUUUUCUGGUCUUUUCUUGGGUCACCCGGAACUUACCCGAUUUGUUCGGUGAUAGAAAAAUACUUUUCAAAAGCUUCCGUCAAGAUGAUGGUUAUGGAAAAAAUCUCCGAGAAGUCGAAAAGUCUUUCCCUCUCUCUUCUCUGUCGUCUUCGACCUUCAAUCAUUGGGAGGGUUCGAGCUAGUCUCACCCUCCCCUCCAUCCAUUUUGAUUUUCUUUGAAGUUUUCUUUUACUUUUCCCAUUUUUUCUCUCCUGAUUUAGAUUUGGGAGUUGUGCUCCCCAGAUUUGAGAGUUUGAACUCUUUGAAUCUAGUUUGAGACCAAUGAGUUAGACUAAUGAGUUUUUCUCUCCCAAUUUAGAUCUAGAAAUUUAAUAAUAUUUUCAGAAACUUGAUACUCCCAUGCUCUAUCCGUGUACAGGUCAUCUACCUCCACUUUCAGUAAUGAUUGUUGGAACUCUAGCGUCUCAUUAAAUUAUAAAGAUUUGCUCUUCCAAAGGCUAGAUUUGUAUUUAUUCGAUAUAUUUGGUCGUCUCCAUAUGUCAAUAAUAUAGAGAAAGCCAAAUUUAAGUGCGCAUCACCAACUAGCAACGCUGUAGUUAUUAGAGAAUGAAUUUCCAGUGUGUGUUCAUUAUUGACAAUAAUAAAAGAUCUAGUGAUUGAUCAUCAAUUAUCUUGCUUUUAGAAUGAAUAUAUAUGCUUAACCCUUCUGAUGCUUUGUUGAUACACCUUGUUUUCUGAAUUUGGCUUUGUUUGUAGUAUUUUGACCUUUGUUUUGCUUCAAUUUGCUUUACUUCUCAUAUAUUCUUUUGAGCCAUGAAUAUAAUUUUUUUUCUAACAAAAUAAAAAAGCUUCCAUUAAGGUUUCACUCUAUCCUUAAAUGAGAUAAAUAAAGAAGAUGAAGGAAAAGAAUCCAAAGAAACCAGAAAAAUAUAAUUUUUUGUUUCUGAAAUAGAGUUAUCAUAAUAAAGGAAUGGACAAAAGCCAUCAAAACCUUAGAGUAUUCGUGCGGUGACACAUUUAUUCUAAAUUUUCCUUUGGGAUAUCAAAAAUCUCAAACUUAUAUAUGUGUAACAUAUUUACUAUCCGUCAAAAUGAGAUAAAUAAAGAAGAUGAAGGAAAAAAAUUCAAAGAAACCGGAAAAAUAUAACAUUUUGUUUAUGAAAUAGAGUUAUCAUAAUAAAGGAAUGGACAAAAGCCAUCAAAACCUUAAGAGUAUUCGCGCGGUGACACAUUUAUUCUAAAUUUUCCUUUGGGAUAUAAAAAAUCUCAAACUUAUAUAUGUGCAACAUAUUUACUAUCCGUCAAAGUUCUAUCAAUACAAACCUUUAAAAUCCCACCUACAUGGACAUCAAAAAACAAAUAGUGUUGACAUGGCGCCCACGUAUCUUUAGUGAAAUAAAAAUGAUAUUUACUUUAGCUGAAAAAUUAUUUUAUGGGACCUUAACGAAUGAUAAAUAUGUCACAUAAGUACAAAUUUGAGAUUUUUUACGUCAUAAGAAAAAGUCUAUGGUAAAUAUGUCAUAAUAGAUAUGUUUUGGAGUUUUUUGUCACAAAUAAAAAUUUAAAGUAAAUAUAUCAAAGUUUAAAGUAAAUGUACAAAUUUCUGUUAAGAUAAUAGUAUGGAAAAAAUCUCUGGGAAAUCGAAAUGUCUUUUCCUCUCUCUUCUUUGUCUUCUUCAAGUAUAGGGAGGGUAUGAGUUAGCCUCACCCUCCCAUUCAUCUAUUUUGAUUUGAUUUGAUUUUAUUUUUUUUCUUCUUCUUCUCUGUUCCCUCCACCCAACGCCACUAAGGGCAGCUCUAGCCAACCCUAGCCAACCCAGCAAGGGCGACCCAGGCCGGCGAAGAGAGGAGAGAAGGGAAAAAAGAAAGAAAAGAAAAAGAAAAAGAAAAAAUAGAAAAAAUAAGACGAAAAUGCUCUUGACGGGGUAAAUGUGUCAUAAUUUGCAAAGUUGAGGAUUUUUUAUGUCACAAAAAAAAGUUUGAGUAAAUUUAUCACUUACAUAAAGCUUGAGGUUUUUGGUGGUUUUUUUACCUCCACGUUUUCAUUGGCGUGUUCCUUUUUUUAUUAUUAUUCUGAUGAAUCACGUUAAUGCCCUCCACCUUAUGCUUAAAGCGUGCAAAAUUUGACUGCCUCUUGCGGUUCUCUUACCGCCGAAAAUGGAAAAUGAGUUCGAACCGAGAGAACUAAUACAAGAAUGGUAAAGAGGGGAACAAAAGACUUCUGGUCAUCUUGAUCAUGUCUAGUCAGAAAACCAAAUGUCCCCUGCAUAUGAAAUGGUCACAUUAUACAUAGAAUGCAUCUUGGAUAAGCACAUUCACACAGCUUUGAACAGGAUCCAGUUUACAAACACCCCCUUUGUAAAUAUAUUUUCUGUUAAAUUUUAUGUGAAGUAUAUUCAUCUAUAACAUUCACAGUAUCCCCAUUCACCACAUCUCCGUCGACCUAUGUGCUGACGACUGCUUUUUUGGGAAGUCCUUUUUUGAGAAGUCAUCUGUGUAGGACGAAGCUCAAUCCCCUGGAUGACUAGCCCGGAUUUCCACUUUGCCCUUUUCACCUCCAUCAAGCUUAUUUGAACCUCCCCGGUUGGAGGGUUUUCCACAAAAAACUCACCCAGAUUGAUCUCCUGCCACCCAUCUCCUCGGUCCUGAGGAGCUUUUUUCUCCCUAGCCCGAAUAACUCUUGCCACAGAUGCAUUGCGGAACACAUGCCGAGAUUUCUUGUGCGGGGUUUGAUAUCGUUGUCUCAACCUCCCAUCAGGAUCAAAAUAUAUAUUGCGUUGUUGACCUGCAGAACCACAAAAGAUGGACACUUCCACUGCUUGAUUCUCAAACCCAUAGUUCCCAUGCACAAACUUGAAGAUGAAGUAAGCUGCAUAAUAUGUGUCAGCAGACAGAAGUCGCAUCUCCAUCUUAGCGUGAACCUCAAGCCAGCGUGCACUUACAAGCUCUGCCACCUCUGGGAAUCUUUCAAAUAGAUGAACAGAUUUCAGUUACCAUACGAUAGAUGCCAAACAUAAGAAGACAGAUGACAGUAUCCACAGCAAAAGAGGAAAAUGUAACGGCAGUUUGGAGAUUGGAUGGACCUUGAGCCGUGGAGUGAACUCCAUCUCCAGAAGCUAGAAGUGUCAUCCCAUACUAUAGACAGAUCUCGAGCGCCAAUUAUAUAACACUUCUUCCCGCUCCAUUUUUCAAGUGCAAAACUCUGCAAAAGACAUGGGGAGAUCAUUCUACGUGAAAUAUUUGGAAAAUUAAGGAGGUGCUGUCUCUCCAUAAGAAACAUGACAAUAGCGAUGGAUAAUUAUGCAGAGAGAAUUACAAGUUGGUACUGAACAGAUAUGAUACUCCUCGAGACAUGAUUCCCAAAACGAUUAAAAUAAGAUUGUUGUACUUAAAUUAAGUAUUUAGGAUGCCCAUGAUCUCCACUAUAAUAAAAAUGAAAACAACAAGCUAGAGUAACUUCAUUGCUUCAAAAAGACCAUCACAACUGGGUUGUGUUCCAUGAACUUCUCCCAGUAAUAAAAUACCAAAAACGUAAAAGAAUCAUCACCCCAUGAACUUUUCAAUUGAAUGCACUUGACUCUUUGAUAAGUCAACCGUCCAACAUUAACCAAACGGUUAGUACAGAUGGUCCAUCUCUAUAUCCAGCCCAACCAAUUCUAGGAGUAACAGCUUCUAAUGUCAUUCUCUGCUUUCAACUAGUGCUCCCUCAAUUUAGACAAGGACAUCACGUUUUAGAACACAUGGAGACAAUUCGCCCUGCAUUCAUCAUUAUGUCAUUACGUGCAUGUGAGCAGAGACUGCACCAACGAGAUACCUUCACCAGACUUCUGUGGAACAAACGAUGUUCCAAUUCUAUCCCAAACUUUAACUAGAACCAGUUACGCCACAGCAGCCAUUUUAAAGCACGGUGUUCAAAUCCAUCCCUAGCUCAGCUGCUGCAGACAGCCCACAAGCCCAUUGGUAAAGAUGCCAUUCUCACCUACUAUUUUAACUUUGAAUUCGAGUAUCAAUAAUUUCUUCAGACUGCCCAGCAAAAACAGUGAAGCCAAAAGCAAUCAACCAGCCAACCCAAGUUUACAAAAGAAAAAUAAAACAAAAUUGAACCCGAGUACUAUGCCAAUUAGAGCAAAGGCUUAAAAUUGAGCUGACACGGCUUAUGCUUCAUAUCUUUGAGACCACCCUUCAGCACGAACGUUGUUAGCCACUUAAUAUCAGACCAUUUGUUCUAAUGCGCAGAUAAUUGAGAGAUUGCAGCUGACUACGCAAAUCAUUCUAAAAGCCUGAAACUAUUGGAAAAAGGCUCAAUUUUUGUCUUUAACGCGUGUGAUCGGCCAUGGUCUUCGAGAAGCGGAUUCCACAAAACCGGGGUUCUGUGCAGAAGUUCAAAACCUUGCGACCCUCAAAGCCGAUCUCAAAGCCUUCCACCUUCCACUCCAAGAAUUCAACCCAAUCAAGCUCGAGGCCCACGAACCCGACAAUCAUCUCAUCCCGUGGCCGCCGUAAAACCCAGAAGUUCGUUCGACGAAAAAUCAAGUUACCUUGCGACCGGAGUCGAUGAGAAGAGGGUCUUUGCAGAGACGUAGGAAGACGUCCUUCUUCCUAUCCAGCGAGGGCCCAAAAGGCGGCGGCGGCAAGAAAGUGGAGACGAUGACGUCGAGGUCGGGGGGGAGGAACUUGUGCCAGACGGCGUCGGAGUCGGAGGCGGAGCGGAAGGCGCGGGAGACGGCGGCGGAGCGGGCGGCGUCGAGAGGGGUGGUGAGGGAGAGUACGUGGGCGAUGCAUUCCUCGGGCAACGCGUCCAGCUCCACCAUCUCUUUCGUCGGGAUGAUCGAUCGAUCGCGUUCAAAGCUCGGUCGGUCCGGUCCGACGAUGUUCUCGUUUCGAUCGAGAUGAUAGUACAGAAAAAAGUCUCCUAGAAGUUGAAAAGUUUUUCCCCCUCUCUCCUCUUUGCCUUGUUCGGCCUUCAACCUUGAGCUAUUCUAGGAGAAAAUAUUAGGUGUNNNNNNNNNNNNNNNNNNNNNNNNNNNNNNNNNNNNNNNNNNNNNNNNNNNNNNNNNNNNNNNNNNNNNNNNNNNNNNNNNNNNNNNNNNNNNNNNNNNNCAUCUCCCAAUGGUCUCUGGGACGACAACCGAACGGGCAGACGGACAAGGGGAGAUGAAAUGAAAAGUAAAAACCCAAACUUCCUUGAAGAAUCUCACCAGGCGGGGUCGGACGCGGAGCUGGGAGAGGGAAAUGAGCAGAUGGGUUUUGUAAACGGACGCGUAGGCGCAUUGGGUCGGCUUUGGUUUCCUUAUUUAAUGCGAUUUCAUCACGUGGGUCGUCCUCGCCUGUUCCUGGGUAUUGUUCGACACUCGCAGCCAGCCAUGGACGACACUCGCUCGACCUCAAACUCGGAGCUUUGGUUAGCGCUCGAGUUUCGAGCUCGGCCUCAAGCCAUCUCACCGCAAACGAAGCUCGACGCAGUCUCCGUCCCGCAGCGCGCCGUCCCUCCUCGACCUGAAGCGGCCAGAGCUCGAGCCAUGGCAGACGAAAGAGGGAAGAAAAGAGAAGUAUAGAGAGAAGAGGGGGAGAGAGUUGUGGGCAGAAUCGGAGGGAAGGAGAGACAGUAAAGGUGAGAGAGACGGAGUUAAUGGACAAAGUGGGGGCUAAUGGGUGGGCCCAAAUUUGCCACGUGUCUAUUAGUGUAUGGUUUACUGCACCAUCCUACGUGGCAUAUUAAACACACCUCAUAUUUUCUCGCUAGUCUCACCUUUUCAUCCAUAUGUUUUGAUUUUCUUUUGAGUUUUUUUUUUGUACUUUUCCUCUUUUUUUUCUCUUUCGAUCUAGAUUUGAGAGUACUUCACCAAUCUAAUUCUAUUUGAGAGUUUGAAUUCUCUAAAUCUAGUACUAGAUUAAGGAGUUCUUAUCUUCCAAUUAAAAUCUAGGAGUUUAAUAGUUUUUCCGAGGAUUCGAUAUCCCUAUGCUCUAUCCGUAUACAAGUCAAUGAUGAUUAUAGGAGCUUUAACGUCUCACUAAACUAUGAAGAUUUGCUCUUCUAAAGGUUAAAUUUGUGUUUAUUUAACCAAUUUUGAUUGUCCCAUAUGACAAUGGUGUAAUGAAAGUUGAACCUAGGCACGCACUGUCGACUAGCAAUCCCGUAAUUAUUGGAGAAGGAAUUUACAGCAUGGAUUCAUCACUAACAAUGAUACGAGAUACAGUAAUUGUCCGUCAAUUAUCUUGCUUGACAAAUCCAUUCUUUUAGAACAAGUGUGUGCCUAACCUUGCCAAUACUUUGUUGAUCCUCCCUAUGUUCUGGAUUUUACUUAAUUUUGUAGUAUUCUGGCCUUUGCUUUGCUUCAAUUUACUUUAUCAUAAAAGUCUAUAUACUUCUCAUUUAUUCUUUUGAGUUAUGAAUGUAGUUUUUUUUUUUGACAAAAAAAGAAGAAAAAAAGAAAAGCUUCCAUUAAAGUUUCACUCUUUUCUUAAAUGAGAUAAAUAAAGAAGAUGAAAUAAAAAAAUCAAAGAAACCGAAAAGAUAUAAUUUUUAGUUUAUGAAAUAGAGUUAUCAUAAUAAAGGAAUGGACAAAAGACAUCAAAGCCCUAGAGUAUCCUCCUUAUGUUCUGAAUUUUACUUUAUUUUGUAGUAUUCUGGCCUUUGCUUUGCUUCGAUUUACUUUAUCAUAAAAGUCUAUAUAUUUCUCAUGUAUUCUUUUGAGUUAUGAAUACAGUUUUUUUGACAAAAAAAAAAGAAAAAAAGAAAAGCUUCCGUUAAGGUUUCACUCUUUCCUUAAAUGAGAUAAAUAAAGAAGAUGAAAUUAAAAAAAAAAAAAUCAAAGAAACUGAAAAGAUAUAAUUUUUAGUUUACGAAAUAGAGUUAUCAUAAUAAAGGAAUGAACAAAAGCCAUCAAAGCCCUAGAGUAUCCUCAUGGUGACACAUUUAUCCUAAUUUUUGUUCUAGGAUAUGAAAAUUCUCAAACUUGUUCAUGCGCGACAUAUUUACAGUCUAUCAAAGUUUUGUCAAUACAAACCUUUAAAAGCCUACCUACAUGGAUGUCGAAAAACAAACUGUGUUUAUAUGGCGCCUGUGUGGCUUUAAUGAAAUAAAAACGAUGUUUUUUUUGGCUCAAAAAUUAUUUUACCUAACUUGACGAAUGAUAAAUGUGUCAAAUAAGUGCAAGUUUGAGUUUAUGGUAAAUGUGUAACAAUAGAUAUGAUUUUGAAUUUUUUAUGUUACAAAUAAAAGUUUAGAGUAAACAUGUCAUAAUUUUUUUUUCCAGUAAACAUGUUAUAAUUGGCAUAAUUUAUUUUUUUAAAAACUUUUUCCAUAAAGAGAUUCACUUAAUUAUUAAAUCAAGCUAGGUCUCUCCAGCUGAGCCAAGCAUCAAGGCCUUGUAUGCGCUAGCGAUUGGCACAUAGAGGAGUGAUUGCCCAAGUUUCUCGGCCUGAUAUAACACACUAUCAAUUUGUUAUUUCUAGAGUAAUUUUCUAGAUAUCUUAUGGAAAAUUGUAUAAUUAUCAAAAGCCUUAUGUUUUGAAAUUAAUUUCAUGAAGUUGAUGAUAAAGCUGAUGAUAAAGAACACAUACGUCCUAGUGGAUAUUAUGCACUUAUUACACAACAACCCCUUAGAGAAAGGGCCAAGCAAGGCAAGCAAGGUAGACAAUAAGUAGGAGAAUGGAAGCUUGGGCUCUGAGGGGUUUGGGGUUGCUCAUAUUUUACAAGACAGUUAACUUAGCGCUAAAAGCAAGACAGAAGUUUUUAAUUAAUAUAUCACAUACAAAUUUAUGGAAUUUUUUAAUCUAUGAUAGUGAGGGUCACUGCACGCUCUCUAAAUCAGUGUUGAGUGCUUGUAACAACUUUGCUCACGACUUGAAUUUAUAGUCUUAGGCAAAAUAGCGUGACAAAAACAAAAACCUUAAUAUUUGUAUGCCUAUCGUGUUUCCUCUCUCUCAAUAAACAAAUGAUUUCUUCUUCUUCUUUUUUUGUAAAGCGGCUUUAGCAAUUUUCGACCAGCUUCCGCACAUUUCAACUGGUCCACCUCUCCAAACGAUCUUAAGAGACGUUGCCCUGACACGUUCUACAUUUCACUCCUAAAAUGUUAUAAAGAAGGUUCGCACCGAUCAUGGAUAACAUUUCAAAAUAAUUCCCCCUUUUUAUAAACACCCCCUUGUAAAUAUAUAUUCCGUAACAUCUUAUUGUGAAGUAUAAUCAUCUGUAAUAUUGACAAUAUUCCCAUUCGCCUCAUCUCUGUCGACCUCUGCGCAGAAGUCGAUCUAUGCGCAGACGACUGCUUUCUUCGGAACUCAUCUGUGUAGGACGAAGCUCAAUCCCCUGGAUGACCAGCCCGGAUCUCCAGGUACCACUCGUCACGCCCAUCAAACUUACUUCAACCUCCCCACUUGGAGGGUCGUUCACGAAAAACUUACCCAGAUAGAUCUCCUUCCACCCAUCUCCUCGGUCCUGAGGAAUUUUUUCCUCCGUUGACCGAACAACACUUGGGUCCAUAUCCGGCCACCUCUCUCGCGCGGUUUGAUAUUGCUGUCUCCACCUCCCGUCGGGAUCCAAGUAUAUAUCGCGUUGCUCAACCUCAGAACCAGAAGAGAUGGACACUCCCACUGCUUGAUUCUCAAAGCCAGAGUUCUCAUGCACAAACUUGAAGAUUAAAGUAAGCUGAAUAAUAUGUGUCAGCAGACAGAAGUCGCGUCUCCAUCUUAGCGUGAACCUCAAGCCAGCAUACUCUUAUGAGCUCUGCCACCUCUGGGAAUCUUUCAAAUAGACGAACAGAUUUAGUUACCACUAGAUGCCAAACAUAAGAAGACAGAUGACAGCAUCCACAGCAAAAGAGGAAAUUGUAACAGCAGUUUGGAGAUUGGAUGGACCUUGAGACGUGGAAUGAACUCCAUCGCAAGGAGCUAGGAAUGUCGCCCCAUACUAUAGACAGAUCUCUUGCGCCAACCAUAUAACACUUCUUCCCGCUCCAUUUUUCAAGUGCAAAACUCUGCACAAGACGUGGAAAGAUCACUAUACGUGAAAUAUUUGGAAAAUUAAGAUGGUGCCGUCUUUCCAUAAGGAACGUGAUAAGAGUGAUAGAUGAUUAUGCAGAGAGAAUUACAAGAAGGAAAAUGUAUCAUUCGGUCAUUUGUUAUGCUGAACAAACAAGGUAUUAAACAGAUAUGAUACUCCUCAAGACAUGGUUCCCAAAAUGAUUAAAAUAAGAUUGUUGUGCUUAAAUUAAGUACUCCACUUUAAUAAAAAUGAAAAAAACAAACUAGAGUAACUUCUUCUGCCACUGCUUCAAAAAGACCACUGCAACCAGGUUGUGUUCCAUGAGCUUCUCCCCGCAAUAGAAUACCACAAAACAUAAGAGAAUGGAUGGUCCAUCUUUAUAUCCAGCCCAACCAAUUCUAGGAGUAACACCUUCUAAAGUCAUUCUCUGCUUUUGCCUAGUCCUCCCUCAAUUCAGACAAUGACAUCACGUUUUAGCACACACAGACAAUGCGCCCUGCAUACAUAAUUAUGUCAUCACAUGCAUGUGAGCGGAGACUGCACUGACGAGAUAACUUCACCUCCACAGCAGACUUGUAUGGAACAAACGAUGUUCCAAUUCCAUCCCAAAUUCGAACUGAAACCAGUUAUGCCACAACAGCCAUUUUAAAGCACAGUGUUCAAAUUCAUCCCUGGCUCAGCUGCUGCAGACAGUGCACAAGCCCAUUGGUAAAGAUGCCCUUCUCACCUACUAUUUUAACUUUGAAUUCGUUCUAGCAAGUAUCAAUAAUUUCUUCAGACUGCCCAGCACAAGCAGUGAAGCCAAAAGCAAUCAACCAGCCGACCCAAGUUUUAGAAAGAAAAAUAAAACAAAAUUGAACCUGAGUGCUGAGCCAAUUAUUGAGUUGACACGGCUUAUACUUCAUAUCUUUAAGACUACCCUUCAGCAACAACGUUGUUAGCCACUUAAUAUCAAACCAUUUGUUCCAAUGCGCAGAUAAUCGAGAGAUUGCAGCUGACUACGCGAAUCAUUCUAAAAGCCUAAAAAUAUUUAAAAAAAAGACUCAAUUUUUGUCUUUAACGCGUGUGAUGGGCCAUGGUCUUCGAGACGCGGAUUCCACAAAACCGGGGUUCUGUGCAGAAGUUCGAAACCGUUCGACCCUCGAGCCGAUCUCAAAGCCUUUCACCUUCCACUCCAAGAAUUCAACUCAGUCAAGCCCCAGGCCCACGAACCCGGCAAUCAUUUCAUCCCGCGGCCGGCGUAAAACCCAGAAUUCGUCCGACGGAAAUCAAGUUACGUUGCGACCGGAGUCGACGAGAAGAGGGUGGGUGCAGAGACGCAGGAAGACGUCCUUCUUCCUAGUCAGCGAGGGCCCAAAAGGCGGCGGCGGCGGCGUCGGAGUCGGAGGCGGCGCGGAAGGCGGGGGAGAAGGUGGCGCAGCGGUCGGCGUCGACAGGGGUGGCGAGGGCCAGGGAGAGUAUGCGGGCGAUGCAAUCCGCGGGCAAGGCGCCCAGCUCCACCAUCUCUUUUUGUUGGGAUGAUCGAUUUCGAUCGGUCGGGUUCGAAGCUCGAUCGGUCCGAUGAUGUUCUUGUUUCGAUUCUGUCUGAGGUUGCUGACAACCACGGGCUCAGCCGCGAAGCAGAGGCUUCCCAGUCUCCAGCUUUUUUUUUUUUUUUUUCUCUCUUUUCUGGUCUUUCCUUGGGUCACCCCGAACCCGAUUUGUUUGGUGAUAGAAAAAUACUUUUCAAAAGCUUCCGUUAAGAUGAUGGCAUGGAAAAAAUUUCCGAGAAGUCGAAAAUUCUUUUCCUCUCUCUUCUAUCUCGUCUUCAACCUUCAAUCAUUGGGAGGGUUUGAGCUUACCUCACCCUCCCCUCCAUCCAUUUUGGUUUUCUUUGAAGUUUUCUUAUAUUUUUUCCAUUUUUCUCUCCUGAUUUAGAUUUGGGAGUUAUGCUCUCCCGAUCUAACUCCAAAUUUGAGAGUUUGAACUCUCUGAACCUAGUUUUAGACCAAUGAGUUUUUUCUCUCCCUAUUUAGAUAUAGGAAUUUAACAAUGUUUUCGGGGAUUCGAUACUCUCGCACUCUAUGCAUGUACAGGUCCUUUGCCUCCAAUUUCAAUAAUGAUUGUAGGAACUCUAGCAUCUUGCUUUGCCAAAGGUUAGAUUUAUAUUUAUUUGAUAUAUUUUGGUCAUCUCUAUACGUCAAUAAUAUAGAGGAAGCCAAAUUUAAGCAUGCAUUGCCAACUAGCAAAGCCGUAGUUAUUGGAGAAAGAAUUUCCAUUGCAUGCUCAUCAUUGACAAUGAUACAAGAUUUAGUGAUUGAUAGCCAAUUAUCUUGCUGACAAAUCUGUUCUUUUAGAAUGAGUAUAUGCUUAACUCUACUGGCGCUUUGUUAAUACACCUUGUUUUUUGAAUUUAACUUUGUUUUGCAGUAUUCUAACCUUCUUUUACUUCAAUUUGCUUUCAAUUUGCUUUAUUUUCUAACAAAAUAAAAAAGCGUCUAUUAAGGUUUCACUCUAUCCUUAAAUGAGAUAAAUAAAGAAGAUGAAGGAAAAAAAUUCAAAGAAAUCAGAAAAUAUAACUUUUUGUUUACGAAAUAGAGUUAUCAUAAUAAAGGAAUGGACAAAAGCCAUCAAAACCCUAGAGUAUUCCCGCGGUGACACAUUUAUUCUAAAUUUUCCUCUGGGAUAUAAAAAAUGUCAAACUUAUUCAUGUGCAACAUAUUUACUAUUCAUCAAUACAAACCUUUAAAAGCCUACCUACAUGGACAUCGGAAAACAAAUAGUGUUGGCAUGGCGCCUAUGUAUCUUUAGUGAAAUAAAAAUGAUAUUUGCUUUGGCUGAAUUUUUUUUUUUUUACAGAACCUUAAUGAAUGAUAAAUAUGUCACGUAAGUACAAGUUUGAUAUUUUUUACGUCAUAAGAAAAAGUUUUGAGUAAAUAUGUCAUAGUAGAUAUAUUUUGGGGGUUUUUAUGUUACAAAUAAAAAUUUAAAGUAAAUAUAUCACAGUUGGUAUAAUCUGUGAUCUUUUUAUGACUUUUUCCUUAAAGAAAUUCACUUAAGUAAAACUCCUCAAUUAAUUCUUUUCAUUUAUUAUGCCCUUAUGCAAGAUUGUGCCAAGCCAAUCGACACUCUUAUUAGAUCAAGCUAGGUCUCUCCAGCUCAGCCAAGGCAUUAGGGCCCUAUAUGCACUAGCAAUCGGCACAUAGAGGAGUGGUUGCCCGAGUUUUUCGGCCUAGUAUCACGCGCCUUGCAUUCUUACUCUUGCAAAAGAUUAGCAUGUUAUCCCUAAAGUAACUUUCUAGAUCAUCUUCCAUAAAUCAUAUAACUAUCGAAAGCUUUAUAUCUUGAAAUUAUCAAGUUAAUGAUAAGAUACAAGUAUGUUCUAGAGGAUAUUAUGCGCUUAUUAUAAAACAACUCCUUAGAGGAAGGGCCAAGCAAGGGGAAAACGGGUAGGAAAACUGGGAGUUUGGGUUCUUGAGCAAUUUGUGUUGCUCAUAUUUUAAAAGGCAAUUAAACCUAGAAGUUAGCGCCUAGAUCAAGAAAGAAGUUUUUCAUUAAUACAUCAUAUAUAAAUUUAAGGAAUUUUUUUAUGUCUAAGAUGGCGAGGGUCAGUGCACAUUCUCUAAAUCAGCGUUGAGUGCUUGUAACAACUUUGCUCACGACAUGACUGUUGAAUGAGUCAAUUUCUUUUUGGUUUGUUUUUCAUGUGUUAAAAGUCUGUUAAGCACUCCUAUUAUGUGGGUUUGUUGCUGUAUGUGUUAAGUUAGUGGGCUGUGGUAGUUACCUGUUGGUGUAAAGCAUAUAUAAAGGCUAUGGCGUCAGUUUUAUAUGUUGUUCUACAGACAGUUCUUCUUCCUUUGUGUAUAUCUUUCAAUCCUAUAUUUUUCAACACUAGUAUCAGAGAAAGGUUAGGAAGAAAAGUGUGUGUUUGAGUACUAUAAAAAAAGGUGAGAACUAAAAGAGAGCUUUUUGCAACAAGUAUUUUCGUUUGCUGCAGUCAAAAGAGAGUAUUGUAGUAGGCUAUUUUUGUUUGUAGCAACAGCAGGUUGCUUUUGUAGUGGUUCUGUCUUUCAGCGGCAAUAAUGACCUCGGAAACAUUUGUACAACUAGCUAUUCCACACUUUAAUAGUCACUAUGAUCAUUGGAGCAUGCUAAUGGAGAAUUUUCUCAAGUCCAAGGAGUAUUGGGAUGUUUUCUCGGGAGUUUCCGAACCUGAUGAAGUGGUUGUGUUAACAGCAGCAUAAAGAACAGCUUUGGAUGCAUCAAAAUUGAAUGAUCUCAAGGCCAAAAGCUACCAUUUCCAAGUAAUUAACAGAUUCAUUAUGGAGACAAUUCUUUGCAAGGAUACCUCCAAGAAAAUAUGGGAUUCCAUGAAGAGAAAGUAUCAAGGCUCAGCAAGAGCAAAGAGGCGGCAGCUUCAAAUGCUUCGUUCGGAGUUCGAAAUGUUAUGAAUGAAGUCGAGAGAGAUAAUCACAGAAUUCUUCUCUCGGACAAUGGCAAUAGUUAAUAAGAUGCGGAUUCAUGGCGAUAAGACGGAGGAUGUCACGAUGAGAUUCUUCGAUCCUUGACACCAAAGUUCAACUUUAUUGUUUGUUCCAUAGAAGAAGCCAAGGACAUUGAAGAACUUUCCAUUGAUGAAUUGCAAGGAUCCUUGUUAGUUCACAAACAAAACUCCUACAGCAAGAGAUAGAAGAGAAGGUUUGAAGGCCUCAACUGGAGAUCAUUCUUUAUUAGCAACAAGGGUGAAUAGAAGAAGAGGCAGAGGAAGAGGGAACAACAAUCGCAACAGCUUCAACUUUGAUCAAAAGUUUGAAAGACAUUCCUAUCGUGAUUUCCAAGGGAGAGGAAGAAGUCGUGGAGGACGACAUUCAACUGGUUUUAGGCCAAGGUCAACAGACAAAUCCAAAGUGGAGUGUUUUAGAUGCCAUAGGUAUGGGCAUUACAAAUCUAAAUUUCGAACUAAUCUGAAUAGACAAAGUAUGGAAAGAACUAACUUUGUUGAAAAAGAAGAAGAAGCAUCUCUUUUGAUGGUGUGCCAUAAGAAGGAAGAAACUCAAUCAAACAUGUGGUAUCUCGACACUGGUUGUAGCAACCACAUGUGUGGAGAUAAGAAGAUGUUUUCUAAUCUGGACAAAUCGUACCACAACACCGUGAAGUUUGGUAACAAUUCUAUUGUGUUGGUGAUGGGGAAAGGAACAGUGGCAAUUCAUCCAAAGGGGACUUCGGUACAAACUAUCUCAAAUGUAUUGUAUAUCCCUGAAUUGAAGACUAAUCUGUUAAGUGCUAAUCAACUGCAAGAGAACGGAUAUGAAAUCUCUAUUAAAGGUGAGAUUUACAAAAUCCAAGAUGAGAAGCUAGGUUUAAUUGCUGAAGUCAAAAUGACGGGCAAUCGGAUGUUUCCACUGUAUCUCCAUAACACUACAAAUUCAUGUUUCUCUGCAAGAUUGAAGGAGGAAGCUUGGCUAUGGCAUUUUCGCUAUGGGCAUCUCAAUUUUGGUGGGUUGCGAACAUUACAUAAAAAAGAGAUGGUGGAGGGUCUUCCUCAAAUCUCUGCUCCUUUGGAAAUUUGUGAGGAUUGUGUUGUUAGCAAGCAACAUCGUGCUCAAGGAGGGUCUUCCUCAAAUCUCUGCUCCUUUGGAAAUUUGUGAGGAUUAUGUUGUUAGCAAACAACAUCGUGCUCAAUUUCCAUAAAGAAAAUCAUGGAGAGCAAAAAGCCCGUUGGCAUUGGUCCAUUCAGAUAUUUGCAGACCAAUAUCUCCAAUUUCCAAUGGAGGUAAACGGUAUAUCAUUACCUUCAUCGAUGAUUUUAGUCGGAAGAUUUGGGUGUAUUUCUUGCAAUAAAAAUCUGAAGCUUUUGUAGCUUUUAAGAACUUCAAAGCACUUGUUGAAAAAGAUGGAGGAAAUCAAAUAAAAGUCUUUCGCACAAAUCGUGGUAGAGAGUACAACUCACUUGAGUUUAUAGAUUUUUGUGUGAAACAUGGCAUCAAGAGACAACUUACAAUAGAAAUGGCGUAUGUGAGAGGAAGAAUCAUACCAUUUUGAAUAUGGCGUGAAGUCUCUUGAGGGGAAGUGUCACGCCCCGAACCCCGAGCGCGUGCCCAUCUCUAUCUGGUUUAUAAUAAUUUAUGACUUCCCAGGACGAGUCGCCGACCCUUUCCAUUUUAUUGCACAUGCGGAAGCGAAAAGAAAUCCCCUGAUAGUAACCAUCUUAGAAUAGAAAAGCAGGACAAUAGAUUCACAAACAAACAUAUUUUUAUAUAUACAUUGAGUCAUGUACAAAAGUCUAUGGCCAAAAGACUACAAAAGACUGGCCUUCCAAAAGAAGCGGUCCUAACUGACCUAUACUUCUGAUCACCUCCUCUCAGCUCCAGGUCCUCCACUCGAUGACCCUGAAAAUGUUGUCCCACAACAGGAUGAGAUAUAAUCUCAGCGAGUCUAAGCUCUAAAUCUCAAUUAGGAAGGAAAUACGCCCAUAAGUGUCCUAAUCACACAAUCACACACUUAGCAUAGAUGACUUAUCUCGUCUCAGUUCCACACUGCAGGUCAGUAUAAUUCAAAUACUCAAUUAAACAAUUCAAUUCAAAUCCACCAUCAAUCAGUCGAUUCAUUCGACUCCAUGCCAUCAAUGUCAUUCAUAUAUUAUGUCGAUUCGAACAUUGCUCAUCUAAGCUGAAAUAGAUAUACUCAUAUAUCAUUGCUCCCCAAAGCUGACUAAAAUUUGCUCACCGAAGCUGUUAGAUCAAAUAAUGCUCACUAAAGCUGCUAAAUAACAAGUGCUCGCCGAAGCUGAUGUCUAAUGUGCUCACUGAAGCUGCUAAAGCAUUAUUGCUUGCCAUUGCUCACCGAAGCUGCUAGAGAUCUAUAAUGAUAUUAAUGCUCCCUGAAGCUGUUAUAGAUCUAUAUUGUUCACCUAAGCUGAUUUGGUACUCAAAGACCACUUUCGGUGUCAACACCCGACACCCGGCAUUUUUCAAUUAAAAUACCAAUAUAUCACAAUCAUCACUCAAUUUAACAAUACAGCAUUCAAUUGCAGAAACUAAACACAUCACUACGAUCAGCUUGAAAUUCUAUCGAGCGACUCUCCCGGUAUAAUUUCCAGAAAAAUAAUUAAUAAUUAAAUAAUUACUGAAAUUAAUUAAAUAAAUCAAUUUAAAUUCUAACAACACUAACCUAGGCUAGAAUCAUUAAAUUAAUAGCCAAUACGGACUCGGAAAAAUUCCUGAACCUUUCUAGAUAAAUAGUACAAUUUAUUUAGGCGUUAGCUAAACCAUGCUAACCACCUAACAUGCUCAAUUAAAUAAUUACAUUUCUAAUUUAAUCUAACUAACCACCUAAUUCCUAAUAAAAUAAAUCUAAAUAUCCCUUAAACGUCAUUAACCUACUAAGCAGAUUUUAGAGUAUUAACUCACCAAUUAAUUACGGAAACUAGUUCACUACAACGACGGUGCGACGAUGGCGCGACGAUGGCCGAAAUCUGAAUUUUCGGCGGCGUCGGCGGACUUGGGCCGGGCCUAAAACAGGCCCAACAAAUCUCAGCCCAACGGAGAUUUGUUUUCAACUUGGGGCUGGGCUUCACUUGAUUCGCGAGCUGAAUUCGCUAGGCUUUCGAGACUGGGCUUGACUGAAAAUGGGCUUCAAAUUACUGGGCUGAUCUUGCUUUGAAGAAACUGUUGGGCCGAAUUGUGGGCUGCUUGCUCACGGGAUGGGCUUCAAGUGGGCAUGCGGCUCGAUGAGCUCGCUGGGCUGUUGAAAACGUGGGCCAAAGAAAUGCAUUGGGCUGCACUCCACAUGCAAGAGGAGCAGCAAAGUCCACGAGCUGAAGAAGCUGGAAUUCACGGUUGGCUUCGUGCGUCGCUGCAGACCUUCGCUGGAAGAGUGGACGGCUCGAAGAAAUUGAGGCAGCAACGAAGAUGGAUGAAGGGCGGCUAGAUUUCUUGUCGCGUGGAGAGGGCGUCGAACGUGAGGCAGCAAAGGAACAAGCGGAGUCAACAAACCGCUUCUGUUGGAUGAUGGUAUUUACUCAUUAAAUGGGGCUGCAAGAAAUUUUUUGGUCAAAGAUGAUGAGAAGGCAGCAAAUUUCGGUGGAGCAAGAGGGAUGGAGCGGUGGGCGUUGGUCUUCGUGAGGGAGAGAGAGACGCUCGGUGAGUGGAGAUGUGGGCGAGUGAUUGCGGUCUGGUCGGUGGGGACAACAAGAGAGGCAACGGGGGCUUGGUGAUUGAUGAAAAAUAAAGGGAAAAUGAAAGCAAGGUAGGAGCCAACGGAGAGGGAGAGAGAAAUGGUCGAGCAGGAAGAAGAUGAUGAAGACCGAAGGGGAAAGGAGCGUAUGGGAGAAGAUUGAGGGAGAGGAAGCCAAAAUAUCCAAUUAAAUAUCUCACAUUCAUCAUUGUUUGGUCCCACUAGGCCUUUAACAUUAUCUUCAUAGUCUCCUAAUACUUUCUAGCUCAAUUUUCACUAAUUCAACCCAAAAGAUACCAAAAUGCAGCCCUUCUCUCUUUGAUCCGAAUUUUAAUCUUUGGUCUCCAAUUUCUUUAACAAUUUUCCCAAAUUCAACGUCUAAUUUUGAUGUAGAAAAAGCCCACAUAAUUUCUACAAGUCUCCUUCACCAUAUGGCUUGGUUUGCAAGUCGAAAAUCUCUUCAAUUCAGCCAAUCCGAAUUUAUGUUAUUUUUCCGCGACGUCCGAAUCGAUAUUCUGUAAAAAACCUCGGAAUCUCUGAAAAUUAUUUGGAGAAUGAGUUGACGUUCCUAAAUUAGCUUGUAACACCUCAGAACUUUCAAUUUUUGAAAUUGGGUUCAAAUUCGUGGUUAUUUUCAAUCCGGCGCGCUUUUAGCGUGACUUAGUUUACUAGGUAACUUUUAGAAAUUUUUUGUACAAUUGACCCAUGAUCGAUUUAUCUUGAGUCACAAUAUACGUCUUCGACACAUUGGCGACUCUCGAUUAUCGUAAAAAUCUCAAGGUUUCAAAUACGAACACAGGGUACCCAAAACGAUAGAAAAUCAAUUUAGUGCCGAUUGAUGAUAAUUUUGCAAUCAGGUGGAAUCACCCACAUUUUGAUCACCUGUCUCAGUCAAAUCGACCUAUCUCUGAUUUUUUAUCGAUUUUUAAGUGUGCCGUAAUGACUCUUGCAAAUUAGCACGGUCGAGUAGUCGAUUCCUGAUCAAAUUCUCAAUCCUUUUUGCAUUAAAAUCCCUUAAUAAUUUUCCUAGAUAGUCUAGUUAUCUCUUGAGUGAUCGAUUCAGAGAAUAGCACUAUAGACACGUCGACGAAAUGCCCGAUUUAUUCAAUUGAAAUCAGAUUUGAAAAAUCAGGAUGUCACAGAAAGUGGAAUUCCAAAAUGUUUCUAGCUUGAAGUAGUCAAAUGGAGCAUUUAUAUUUUAAAUAGAAGUCCCACUCUAACUAUUCAAAAUAAGACACCAAAAGAAGCUUGGAGCGGCCAAAGACCUGCAAUAGAUCACUUUAGAAUUUUUGGGUGUAUUGCUUACGCCCAUGUUCCUGACCAGAAGAGGAAGAAGCUAGAUGACAAGGGAGUCAAAUGUGUUUUUCUUGGCAUUAAUGAUCAAUCAAAAGCCUAUAAACUUUAUGAUCCUAUGACCAAGAAAAUCAUUAUCAACCAUGAUGUGAUUUUUUAUGAAGAACAAACUUUGCCGUGGGGUGAGCAAGGUGUUGGUAAGCAAAUUUCAACGAAUUUUGAAAAUGAAAAUGAGCUAGUGCAACAACCCACAACAACCCAAAUUGCCACAGGUAGUGUCCAAAGCACAGCAGAAGUUGCGGAACCUGAAAAUCGGCCUCAUCAUGUUCGACGGAGGCAUGCAUGGAUGAGUGACUAUGAAGUAACAUGAGUUGAUCAAUAUGAAGAUCCACUUACCCAUUUUGCUUUGUUUUUAGAUUGCGAAACCUUUGAUGUGCAGUACAAAAAGAAAAUUGGAAGAUAGCAAUGGAUGAAGAAAUCGCAGCUAUUGAGAGGAAUAACACUUGGAAGUUGACAGAUCUUCCAAAAUAACACAAAACAAUUGGGGUCAAGUGGGUGUACAAGAUAAAAUUGAACAAGAAUGGUAAAGUUGACAAGUAUAAGGCGUGCUUGGUGGCAAAAGGCUACAAGCAAGAAUUUGGAGUGGAUUACAAAGAAGUAUUUGCACCCGUAGCAAGACUUGACACAAUCAGAUUAGUAAUUGCAUUAAUAGUACAAAAUUCAUGGCCUAUCUUCCAAUUGGAUGUGAAGUUAGCAUUCUUGCAUGGUGAUCUUCAAGAAAAGGUAUCUGUUGAUAAACCUUCUGGUUAUGUGAAGCUCGAUAAUGAACAUAAAGUUUAUAGAUUAAAAAAGGCACUAUAUAAAACAAGCUCCUCGAGCUUGGUAUAGUCGCAUUGAUGUCUAUUUUUUGAAGAAAGGUUUUAGAAAAUGUCCAUAUAAGCAUACACUCUUUAUUAAAAUUGGUGAUGGUAGAAAGUUGCUUCUUGUAUGCUUAUAUGUGGACGAUCUUAUUUUUACUGGAGAUGAUAGUGCCAUGUUUGACAAAUUCAAGGAGUCUAUGAUGGAUGGAUUGAGAUGUCUUAAAAGAAGUAUGUUCAAGAGAUUUUGGACAGGUUUCAAAUGAAUAAUUGUAACCCUAUUACAACUCCAACUGAAGUUGGAUUGAAGCUCUUGAAAGAUCUUAAUGGAAGCAAGGUGGAGAGCACUCUCUACAAGUAAAUUGUUGGAAGCCUAAUGUAUUUGACAGGGACAAGACCAGAUAUCAUGCAUGCCAUGAGCCUUAUAAGCAGGUAUAUGGAGCACCCAACAGAAUUACAUCUACAAGCUGCAAAAAGGAUUUUUUGCUAUUUGUAAGGAACUAAAAAUUUUACCAAAAAAAAAAAAAUUGGGCUAUUCUAUAAAAAGUGAGAAAAGUCAGAUUUAUUUGGAUUUACAGAUAGCAAUUAUGCUAGAGAUGUUGAUGAUAGAAGAAGUACUUUAGGGUAUGUCUUCAUGCUUGGUUCAGGGGUGGUUUCAUGGUCUUCAAAGAAGCAAUCAAUUGUUAGUUUAUCAACAACUAAAGCAGAAUUUGUUGCUGCAACUUCAUGCGUCUAUCAAGUCAUAUGGUUACGGAAGAUUCUUGGAAAGCUUCAUUUCAAACAACAAGAAGCAACUACAAUCUAUUGUAACAACAGCUCAACUAUCAAGCUGUCCAAAAAUCCAGUUCUACAUGGGAGAAGCAAACAUAUAGAUGUGAAGUACCACUUCUUAAGAGAUCUUACAAAAGAUGAAGUAGUUAAGCUAGUUUUCUGUAAAAGCGAGGAUCAAGUGGCUAAUAUAUUCACCAAGCCCCUAAAGUUGCCCAUGUUUCAUAAACUAAGAAAGCUCCUUGGUGUCCGUUUGUUGGAUAUUCCAUUUUGAGAGAAUGUCCUUUAAACUAAUUGUUUGCAAUAUCAGUUAAGGGAAGGAAUGUUAAAUGACUCAAUUUCUUUUUGGUUUGUUUUUCAUGUGUUAAUAGUCUAUUAAGCACUCCUAUUAUAUGGGUUUGUUGUCGUACGUGUUAAGUUAGUGGGCUAUGGUAGUUACCUGUUAGUAUAAAGUCCAUAUAAAGGCUAUGGCGUCAGUUUUAUAUGUUGUUGUGCAGAUAGUUCUUCUUCCUUUGUGUAUAUCUUUCAAUCCUCUAUUUUCAACGAUGACUUGAGUAGUCUCGUGCAAAAUAGAGUGACAAAAACAAAGACGUUAAUAUUUUUAUGCCACUACCGUUUCUUCUCUCUCAAUGAACGAAUGCUUUCUUUUUCUGUAAAGCGGCUUCAGUAGUUUUCGAGCCAGCUUCGGCUCAUUUCGAUUGCUCCACCUCUCCAAACGAUCUUAAGAGACAUUGGCCUUCGAGAUUUUACUCCUAAAAUGUUCUAAAGAAAGGCAGGGAUAACAUUUCAAAAUGGUUCUCCCUUUUUAUAAACACCCCCUUGCAAAUAUAUACUCUGUAACAUCUUAUGUGAAGUAUAAUCAUCUGUAAUAUGGUCAACAUCCCCAUUUACCUCAUCUCUGCCGACCUCUGCGCAAAGGUCCACCUAUCCGCAGACUGACUACUUUGUCGGGAAAUGAUCCGUGUAGGACGAAGCUCAAUCCCCUGGAUGACCAGCCCGGAUUUCCAGCGACCACUUGUCAUCUUCUUCAAGCUUACUUGAACCUCCCCAGUUGGACGGUUGUUCACGAAAAACUUACCCAGAUAGAUCUCCUUCCACCCAUCUCCUUGGUCCUGACGAAUAUUUUCCUCCGUUGACCGAACAGCUCUUGAGGAUUGAGCUUGCGAGGUUUGAUAUUGCUGUCUCAACCUCCCGUCAGGAUCCAAACAUAUAUCACGUCGCUCAACCUCAGAACCAGAAGAGAUGGACACUCCCAUUGCUUGAUUCCCAAUGCCAGAGUUCUUAUGCACAAUCUUGAAGAUUAAGUAAGCUGAAUAAUAUGUGUCAGCAGACAGAAGUCGUGUCUCCAUGUUAGCGCGAACCUCGAGCCAGCAUACUAUUAUGAGCUCUGCCACCUCUGGGAAUCUUUCAAAUAGAUGAACAGAUUUAGUUACCACACAAUAGAUGCCAAACAUAAGAAGACAGAUGAUAGCAUCCACAGCAAAAGAGGAAAAUGUAACAGCAGUUUGGAGAUUGGAUGGACCUUGAGACGUGGAAUGAACUCCAUUGCAAGGAGCUAGGAAUGUCGCCCCAUACUAUAGACAGAUCUCUUGCGCCAACCAUAUAACACUUCUUCCCGCUCCAUUUUUCAAGAGCAAAACUCUGCACAAGACGUGGAAAGAUCACUAUACGUGAAAUAUUUGGAAAAUUAAGAUGGUGCCGUCUUUCCAUAAGGAACAUGAUAAGAGUGACAGAUGAUUAUGCAGAGAGAAUUACAAGUAGGAAAAUGUAUCAUUCGGUCAUUUGUUAUGCUGAACAAACAAGGUAUUAAACAGAUAUGAUACUCCUCAAGACAUGGUUCCCAAAAUGAUUAAAAUAAGAUUGUUGUGCUUAAAUUAAGUUCUCCACUUUAGUAAAAAUGAAAAAAACAAACUAGAGUAACUUCUUCUGCCACUGCUUCAAAAAGACCACUGCAACCAGGUUGUGUUCCAUGAGCUUCUCCCCACAAUAGAAUACCACAGAACAUAAGAGAAUGGAUGGUCCAUCUUUAUAUCCAGCCCAACCAAUUCUAGGAGUAACACCUUCUAAAGUCAUUCUCUGCCUUUGCCUAGUCCUCCCUCAAUUCAGACAACGACAUCACAUUUUAGCACACACAGACAAUGCGCCCUGCAUACAUAAUUAUGUCAUCACAUGCAUGUGAGCGGAGACUGCACUGACGAGAUAACUUCACCUCCAUAGCAGACUUGUAUGGAACAAACGAUGUUCCAAUUCCAUCCCAAACUCGAACUGAAACCAGUUAUGCCACAACAGCCAUUUUAAAGCACAGUGUUCAAAUCCAUCCCUGGCUCAGCUGCUGCAGACAGUGCACAAGCCCAUUGGUAAAGAUGCCCUUCUCACCUACUAUUUUAACUUUGAAUUCGUUCUAGCAAGUAUCAAUAAUUUCUUCAGACUGCCCAGCACAAGCAGUGAAGCCAAAAGCAAUCAACCAGCCGACCCAAGUUUUAGAAAGAAAAAUAAAACAAAAUUGAACCUGAGUGCUGAGCCAAUUAUUGAGUUGGCACAGCUUAUGCUUCAUAUCUUUAAGACUAACCUUCAGCAACAACGUUGUUAGCCACUUAAUAUCAAACCAUUUGUUCCAAUGCGCAGAUAAUUGAGAGAUUGCAGCUGACUACGCUAAUCAUUCUAAAAGCCUGAAACUAUUGGAAAAAGGUUCAAUUUUUGGUCUUUAACACGAGUAAUCGGCCAUGGUCUUCGAGAAGCGGAUUCCACAAAACGGGGGUUCCGUGCAGAAGUUCAAAACCAUUCGACCCUCGAGCCGAUCCCAAGGCCUUUCACCGUCCACUCCAAGAAUUCAACUCAAUGAAGCUCCAGGCGCACGAGCCCGACAAUCAUUUCAUCCCGCGGCCGGCGUAAAACCCAGAAUUCGUUCGACAGAAGUCAAGUUACCUUGCGAUCGGAGUCGAUGAGAAUAGGGUCGGUGCAGAGACGCAGGAAGACGUCCUUCUUCCUAGUCGAGGGCCCAAAAGGCGGCGGCGAGGAAGUGGAGACGAUGAGGUCGAGGUCGUGGGGGAGGAAGUUGCGCCAGACGGCGUCGGAGUCGGAGGCGGCGCGGAAGG
rnacentral:lncRNA from 1 species